rnacentral:rRNA from 1 species
GACGAACGCUGGCGGCGUGCUUAACACAUGCAAGUCGAACGGAAAGGCCCUGCUUUUGUGGGGUGCUCGAGUUGCGAACGGGUGAGUAACACGUGAGUAACCUGCCCUUGACUUUGGGAUAACUUCAGGAAACUGGGGCUAUUACCGGAUAGGAGCUCCUGCUGCUUGUUGGUGUUUGGUUAGUUUCGGCCGUUGGGGAUGGUCUCGCGGCUUAUCAGCUUGUUGGUUGGGUAGUGGCUUACCAAGGCUUUGACGGGUAGCCGGCCUGAGCGGGUGACCGGCCACAUUGGGACUGAGAUACGGCCCAGAAUACAACGGGAGGCAGCAGUGGGGAAUAUUGCACAAUGGGCGGAAGCCUGAUGCAGCAACGCCGCGUGCGGGAUGACGGCCUUCGGGUUGUAAACCGCUUUCGCAUGUGACGAAGCGUGAGUGACGGUAAUGGGUAAAGAAGCACCGGCUAACUACGUG